GUGCUCACUUUGGCAGCACAUAUGCUAAAAGUGGAAUGAUACAGAGAACAUUGGCAUGGGCCCUGGGCAAGGAUAUCUUACAAAUUUGUGAAGCAUUCCAAAUUUUU